rnacentral:piRNA from 1 species
GAUGACUAGGAAGACAGGAAGCA